CAGGUAACCUGUCUGGUCAGAGUGCAGCUUCAGUCUUGCACCCCCAGCAGACCCUCCACCCUCCUGGCAACAUCCCAGAGUCCGGGCAGAAUCAGCUGUUACAGCCCCUUAAGCCAUCUCCCUCCAGUGACAACCUCUAUUCAGCCUUCACCAGUGAUGGUGCCAUUUCAGUACCAAGCCUUUCUGCUCCAGGCCAAGGGACCAGCAGCACAAACACUGUUGGGGCAACAGUGAACAGCCAAGCCGCCCAGUCUCAGCCUCCUGCCAUGACGUCCAGCAGGAAGGGUACAUUCACAGAUGACUUGCACAAGUUGGUAGACAAUUGGGCCCGAGAUGCCAUGAAUCUCUCAGGCAGGAGAGGAAGCAGAGGGCACACAAAUUAUGAGGUAAGUCUCUCUUUUGCCACAGAGAAUCCGUAACACACAUCUGAAUCAAGGUGAUGGAAACAACUAAGCUGCUGCUUAACGUUUUACACCACGACCUUCUUCAAUUUUAACACUUCAGAAAAACAAGGCAAAAAUCCCCCAGGUACCCUUUUAUUUUUCCUUCCCCG
rnacentral:sRNA from 1 species